UACGUAGGGCGCAAGCGUUGUCCGGAAUUAUUGGGCGUAAAGAGCUCGUAGGCGGCCAGUUGCGUCCGCUGUGAAAUCCCGGGGCUUAACCCCGGGCGUGCAGUGGAUACGGGCUGGCUAGAGGCAGGCAGGGGAGAACGGAAUUCCCGGUGUAGCGGUGAAAUGCGCAGAUAUCAGGAGGAACACCAAUGGCGAAGGCAGCUCGCUGGGACGGUACUGACGCUGAGACGCGAAAGCGUGGGGAGCAAACAGG
rnacentral:rRNA from 1 species